rnacentral:rRNA from 1 species
UACGAAGGGGGCUAGCGUUGUUCGGAAUUACUGGGCGUAAAGCGCGCGCAGGCGGUCUUCCAAGUCAGUGGUGAAAGCCCGGAGCUCAGCUCCGGAACUGCCAUUGAAACUGUUAGACUUGAGGAUGAGAGAGGUGAGUGGAAUUCCCAGUGUAGAGGUGAAAUUCGUAGAUAUUGGGAAGAACACCGGUGGCGAAGGCGGCUCACUGGCUCAUUACUGACGCUCAGGCGCGAUAGCGUGGGGAUCAAACAGG